rnacentral:tRNA from 1 species
GCCGUUAUAGCUCAGUUGGUAGAGCACACCCAUGGUAAGGGUGAGGUCAUCGGUUCAAUCCCGAUUAACGGCU